CUCUCAGGCCAUACCACCCUGAGAACACCCAAUCUCAUCUGAUCUCAGAAGCUUAGCAGGGUCGAGCCUGAUUAGUACUUGGAUGGGAGACUGCUUGGGAAUACUGGGUGCUGUAGGCA
rnacentral:rRNA from 1 species